rnacentral:piRNA from 2 species
UGACAUGGGGUCUCUUCAAGAAGCACAUUGUC